rnacentral:rRNA from 1 species
CUACGGGGCGCUGCAGUGGGGAAUAUUGCGCAAUGGGGGAAACCCUGACGCAGCAACGCCGCGUGAAGGAUGAAGGUUUUCGGAUUGUAAACUUCUUUGAUGAGGGACGAAACAAAUGACGGUACCUCAAAAACAAGCCACGGCUAACUACGUGCCAGCAGCCGCGGUAAUACGUAGGUGGCGAGCGUUGUCCGGAAUUACUGGGUGUAAAGGGCGGUAGGCGGGAAUGCAAGUCAGAUGUGAAAUUCUAAGGCUCAACCUUAGCGCUGCAUCUGAAACUGUGUUUCUUGAGUGAUGGAGAGGAAAGCGGUAUUCCUAGUGUAGCGGUGAAAUGCGUAGAUAUUAGGAGGAACACCAGUGGCGAAGGCGGCUUUCUGGACAUUAACUGACGCUGAGGCGCGUAAGCGUGGGGAGCAAACAGGAUUAGAUACCCGUGUAGUC